rnacentral:tRNA from 1 species
GGAGAGUUCGCCAUCGGCAAGGCAAGCGGGUUGCUAACCCGUCGCGGGUCACACCGUUCGGGGUUCGAGUCCCCGACUCUCCG